rnacentral:sRNA from 1 species
AUGUUUAAAUCCAAAGUUUUGAUGUAAUAUGUGCAUUAGUGCUGGUAUGAUGAUCGCAUUCAAAUUUAACAUCGGCAAAAACCAAAAAGUAGAACUAAAAUUUGGUUUC